AUUGAACGCUGGCGGCAUGCCUUACACAUGCAAGUCGAACGGUAACAGGUUAAGCUGACGAGUGGCGAACGGGUGAGUAAUGUAUCGGAACGUGCCCAGUCGUGGGGGAUAACUACUCGAAAGAGUGGCUAAUACCGCAUACGACCUGAGGGUGAAAGCGGGGGACCGUAAGGCUCCGCGCGAUUGGAGGGGCCGAUAUCGGAUGAGCUAGUUGGGGGGGUAAAAGCCAACAAAGGCGACGAUCUGUAGCUGGUCUGAGAGGACGACCAGCCACACUGGGACUGAGACACGGCCCAGACUCCUACGGGAGGCAGCAGUGGGGAAUUUUGGACAAUGGACGCAAGUCUGAUCCAGCCGUGCCGCGUGCGGGAAGAAGGCCUUCGGGUUGUAAGCCGCUUUUGUCAGGGAAGAAACGAGUUUCUCUAAUACAGAGACUUAAUGACGGUACCUGAAGAAUAAGCACCGGCUAACUACGUGCCAGCCGCCGCCGUAAGAC
rnacentral:rRNA from 1 species